UCCAGACUCCUACGGGAGGCAGCAGUGGGGAAUAUUGCACAAUGGGGGAAACCCUGAUGCAGCGACGCCGCGUGAGUGAAGAAGUAUUUCGGUAUGUAAAGCUCUAUCAGCAGGGAAGAUAAUGACGGUACCUGACUAAGAAGCCCCGGCUAACUACGUGCCAGCAGCCGCGGUAAUACGUAGGGGGCAAGCGUUAUCCGGAUUUACUGGGUGUAAAGGGUGCGCAGGUGGCAGGGCAAGUCAGAUGUGAAAGCCCGGGGCUCAACCCCGGUAUUGCAUUUGAAACUGUCCGGCUAGAGUGCAGGAGAGGUAAGCGGAAUUCCUAGUGUAGCGGUGAAAUGCGUAGAUAUUAGGAGGAACACCAGUGGCGAAGGCGGCUUACUGGACUGUAACUGACGUUGAGGCUCGAAAGCGUGGGGAGCAAACAGGAUUAGAUACCCCUGUACU
rnacentral:rRNA from 1 species